UGAAGAGUGAACAGUAAAUGGUUAAUCUUACUGCGAUCUGGUUCGUAUUGACUGUGGUUUAUCUCGACGUUUAAUUCGGCGUUUCGUUACACGCGAAGGAGAACGUUACAAAAGAUGUUUUGUUUCGUUGAAAAUGUAUGGGUUUCCAUCUGGUACUUCCACAGCCUUCGGGAAACCAAUGACAAGAUUCUAAUUACAACUUCAAUGGGAGAUAGCAGGAGCGGCCUGAUUUGAUGGACACAGUCAUUCAGAGUUGAUGGAUAGCUGAGACGCCAUGAGUGGGGAUAAAAGACAGGUCUGGAGAGCCACCCUUCGGACACACCAGUGGACACUGACUGAGUGCUGGGAACCCACAGAAAGGAGGGGGCUUCAAAGACUGAACGAGGAGAUCGGUUAGUAAAGCUCACAGUGUUACAGCGGGGCCGGUGAGGACUUGUGUGUGUGUGUGUGUGUGUGUGUGUGUGUGUGUGUGUGUGUGUGUGUGUGUGUGUGUGUGUGUGUGUGUGUGUGUGUGUGUGUGUGUCCACUCGUA